rnacentral:rRNA from 1 species
GACGAACCGUGCGAACGUUGUUCGGAUUCACUGGGCUUAAAGGGCGCGUAGGCGGCGGCUCAAGUCGGGGGUGAAAUCCUUCCGCUUAACGGGAGAACUGCCUUCGAUACUGGGUCGCUGGAGGGAGAUAGGGGUGCGCGGAACUUCCGGUGGAGCGGUGAAAUGCGUAGAUAUCGGAAGGAACGCCGGUGGCGAAAGCGGCGCACUGGAUCUCUUCUGACGCUGAGGCGCGAAAGCCAGGGGAGCAAACGGG